AUACGUAGGUGGCAAGCGUUGUCCGGAAUUAUUGGGCGUAAAGCGCAUGUAGGCGGUAAUUUAAGUCUGUCGUGAAACUGCGGGGCUCAGCCCCGUAUGGCGAUGGAAACUGGGUUACUUGAGUGCAGGAGAGGAAAGGGGAACUCCCAGUGGAGCGGUGAAAUGCGUAGAUAUUGGGAAGAACACCGGUGGCGAAGGCGCCUUUCUGGACUGUGUCUGACGCUGAGAUGCGAAAGCCAGGGUAGCGAACGGGAUUAGAUACCCCGGUAGUCCUGGCCGUAAACGAUGGGUACUAGGUGUGGGAGGUAUCGACCCCUUCCGUGCCGGAGUUAACGCAAUAAGUACCCCGCCUGGGGAGUACGGCCGCAAGGCUUAAACUCAAAGGAAUUGACGGGG
rnacentral:rRNA from 1 species